UACAGAGGUCUCAAGCGUUGGUCGGAUUCAUUGGGCGUAAAGGGUGCGUAGGCGGCGCGGUAAGUCGGGGGUGAAAUCUCGGGGCUUAACUCCGAAACUGCAUUCGAUACUGCCGUGCUUGAGGACUGGAGAGGAGACUGGAAUUUACGGUGUAGCGGUGAAAUGCGUAGAUAUCGUAAGGAAGACCAGUGGCGAAGGCGGGUCUCUGGACAGUUCCUGACGCUGAGGCACGAAGGUCAGGGGAGCAAACGGG
rnacentral:rRNA from 1 species